rnacentral:rRNA from 1 species
AGCGAACGUUAGCGGCGCGCCUAACACAUGCAAGUCGCACGAGAAAGGGAGCAAUCCUGAGUAGAGUGGCGCACGGGUGCGUAACACGUAGAUAACCUGCCCUUCGCAGGGGGAUAACGUUCCGAAAGGAGCGCUAAUACCGCAUACAGCAUUCUGGGGUUUGCCUCGGGAUGGCAAAGGCUGGGACCCGCAAGGGCCAGUCGGCGAGGGAGGGGUCUGCGGCCCAUCAGCUAGUUGGAGAGGUAAUGGCUCACCAAGGCAAAGACGGGUAGCUGGUCUGAGAGGAUGAUCAGCCACACUGGUACUGGAACACGGACCAGACUCCUACGGGAGGCAGCAGUGGGGAAUCUUGGUCAAUGGGCGCAAGCCUGAACCAGCGACGCCGCGUGAGUGAUGAAGGCCUUCGGGUUGUAAAGCUCUGUGGGGAGGGACGAAAGACUGGAGUCGAAUAGGCUACCAGGUUGACGGUACCUCCUUAGCAAGCACCGGCUAACUCUGUGCCAGCAGCCGCAGUAAUAC